rnacentral:rRNA from 1 species
AUUGAACGCUGGCGGCAGGCCUAACACAUGCAAGUCGAGCGGCAGCGGGAGGAAGCUUGCUUCCUUGCCGGCGAGCGGCGGACGGGUGAGUAAGGUAUGGGGAUCUGGCCGAAGGCGGGGGAUAACCACUGGAAACGGUGGCUAAUACCGCAUAAUCUCUAAGGAGCAAAGUGGGGGACCGUUCAGGCCUCACACCUUCGGAUGAACCCAUAUGAGAUUAGCUAGUAGGUGGGGUAAUGGCUCACCUAGGCGACGAUCUCUAGCUGGUCUGAGAGGAUGAUCAGCCACACUGGGACUGAGACACGGCCCAGACUCCUACGGGAGGCAGCAGUGGGGUAUAUUGCACAAUGGGCGCAAGCCUGAUGCAGCCAUGCCGCGUGUAUGAAGAAGGCCUUCGGGUUGUAAAGUACUUUCAGUCGUGAGGAAGGUGUUAAGGUUAAUAACCUUAGCAAUUGACGUUAGCGACAGAAGAAGCACCGGCUAACUCCGUGCCAGCCGCCGCCGUAA